rnacentral:lncRNA from 1 species
AAAUUAAUCAUAAUUUUUAUUCAUAGCUUUAUUAUAUGUCACAAGGUAAUUGACAUAAAAUAAUUUUAAUUCAUAGCUUUACUUAAUUGUGUUUUGUGUGACAGCACCAUCCAACCCAUUUGCUGCAACACCAUUUUUGUGGUUGAUAUUCGGCAUUACUUUGCUGUUGUAUAAUUUCACUAAGAUCCUGACGAGUACUUUGUGUGCUUCCCAUCAAAGUACUAACAAUCACUAAGAGCACCAUCACAAACUUCAAAAUCAUCUUCAUUGUAGAUUCCAUUAUGAAUUUGCAAAAUAUUAAAUAAAUUGAAAUGAUGCAUUUUCAAUAGUAUCUAUCUAUCUAUAUAUAUUACCAUUAAAUAAUAUUUUAUUUAUUAUUAUAUUUUUAUUAAUUUUUAAAUAUGAAACUUUUUAAACAUUCUAUAUAAUAUUUACGUAUUUAAAUUUGUAAUUUAUUUAAAUAAUUCAAAUACUGAAUAAAGAAAUUUGUUGUUCUUUAAACUAAUUUCUAAUUUUAAUUAUCAAAAUUUAUAUGCACAAUUAAUUAUUUAAUAAAAUAGUCACUUGAUUUAAGGAAUAUAUUAGUCUUACACUAAAUUUAAUUUUAAAUAUUAAAAUCAUCUACCAAGACUUUUUUUUUAAGUAUUUCUAUAAUUUUUAAAAUAUAUUGAUAUUUUAGAGUAGAAACUUAAUUCUAAAACAUAAAUAAGAUUGAAUUGAAGUUAUUAAAACUUCUUAAAAAAUUAAUAAUAUGUCUGUCUUGAAAAUUGAAUAGAUCUGUUAUUUUAUUAUUCCCUUGAAUAUGUGUCAAUAAUUUAGAAAUUGCUUCGAAUUCCAUGAACACCAAAUUUCUUUGUAAUAUAUAUAAGUAAUAAUGUGAUUAAUUUUUCAUACACAUGUUCCUGCAUUAAUGUAAUAUUUUAUAUAUAUUUAAUUUGAUUGUUAAUAUAAAUUGUUAUAUUAUAUUUAUUUAAUGUAUUAUUUUAGUACGAGUACUUUGAAGAAUAAAUUUUUUGUUAUAGAUGAGUAAAAUAAAAACUAUUAAGAAUUUUACGUGGUUUAUCUCUAUAUUUAGUAUCUAUGUAUUUAUCUAAUGUAAUAUUUUCUGUAGUAUCCAGCGCUGUAAAAAGAUACAACAACGUUCUUUAAAAUAAAAAAAACGCUGUAAAUCUCUUCUAAAAACGCGCUGCUUGUUGUAUUAGUUUUACGACGCUUUUUAAAAAAAGCGCUGUAAUAUCCAUUCCUUUAUUUCAAUUAGAUCUCUUUCCGGGAUUAUAACAACAAUCUCCUUCAUGAAUCGUAAUAUACAGUAUCCACAGUCUAUGUUGUUAGUUUGACGAGAGCACUAUAAAAUAAAACAAAUAAGUCAAUAAAUAUUUGUAGAUUGAUUGUUAAUGAAAUUUUAAAGCCAUACAUUUCAAACCUUUAUUGGAAUCCAUGUGAUUUAUUUAAUUUUUGCUUCGACACUGUAGCACCCAUUUGAGCUCGGAAAACUUGUAAAACACUAUCAAAUAAAUGUGAUUAUUAGCAUUAACAGACACAUUAUAUAUAUAUAUAUAAGAAUAAAUGAAUACAAUACCUGAAGAGUGCGAAGAAAUACAUAGAGUUCAUAGGGUUACGGUUUCGUUUAAGAAGAAACAGCGAGAAUGUGCAGAAAUACGAACGGUUCGUAGGACAGAGUAGGGUUCUCAUUGAGAAGAGUACGUAAUAAUGUUUGUAGGGAUAGUAACAAAUAUGGAGAUGAUUUGCAAUGGAGAUGGUUAACAAUAUGGUUCAUAGGGACAUUAGGGUUCGCAAUGAGAAGGAUAAUGAAGAGGAGAAGGACACUAAAGUGUAGUGAAGUUUAUGUAAUAAAGAGGAAACUGAAGCGAUUUAAUGUUAUAUUUUAUUUUUUAAAAGCCUAUUACAGCGCUUUUUUUAAAAAGCGUUGUAAAAGACCUCCUUAUUUUACUUUUAAAAGCCUAUUACAGCGCUUUUUUUAAAAAGCGCUGUAAAUGAGAGAGACACCAAUACAAAAUAUUUUCAUGCUUGUAUGUGGAGGGCAAACAUUAUCAUAGGAAUCAAAUUCUUGAAAUUCAAGGAAUUGAUGGUGUGGUGUAUGGGGUUCGGGAGGUAAAAAAGAAGUUAAAAAAAAUUAUAGGCAUUAUGUGUGGAGGAUAUUUUUUCAAGACCAAUGCUAAGUGGAAUUCAUUUUAAGAAAACCGACGAGGUUGAUAACUUAAUAUUGAUUGAUAAAUUCUCACCAGAAGAUAUCAAAUAAAUUGUUUGGAGUUGUGAUGGAAAAAAGAGUUUGGGUCUUGAAGGAUUCAAUUUCAUCUUCUUUAAGGCAUGUCGGGAUAAAGUCAAAGCAAAUGUUAUAAGCUUUGUAAAUGAAUUCCAUGAAGAUUUGAAAUUACCAAAAGGAAUCAUUGCCGUCUUUUUGGCACUUCUUCCAAAGAAGGAUAAUUCAAGACUCUUGAAGGAGUAUAAGUCGAUUUCGUUAAUUGGUAGCUUAUAAAAAUUUGUUUUCCAAAAUCUUAGCAUAAAGAUUGAAGAAUGUGCUAGGAACCGUUAUUUCAAGAAAUCUAACAAUUUUUUUUUAUCAAAGUGCCAAAUAUUGAUUAAUCUAACAAAGAGGGGAAAAGGUAAGUGUAUUGUGUUGAAGGUAGAUUUUGAGAAAGUAUAGGAUUCAAUCAAUUAAAACUAUAUGGAGUUUAUGAUGAGUGACACAAGCUUUACCUCUUGUUGGCGAAGUUGGAUGAAGGCAUGUGCGUUCUCAAGUACCUUGUUAAUGCUUGUAAAUGGUAUCUCUAAUGAAGAAUUUCAAAUUCGAAAGGGGCUUAAGAAGGGGGAUCACUUAACACCUUUUCUAUUCCUAUUAGUGUUUGAAGGACUAUUUGGGAUGGUGAAAAAAGCUGUGAACCCAGGUUUAUUUCACGGGUUUCAGGUAUCUCAAAACAUUUCCUUUCCCAUACUACAAUUUUCUAUGAUACUAUUUUGACGCAUGACGAAAGUUGGGAUAAUUUGUUGGCAUUUAAAUCCAUACUAAGGGGUUUUGAAUUAGUAUCUGAAUUGAAAGUGAAUUUCUUCAAGUGUCGUAUCUUUUGCAUUAAUAUACAUUAGAAUUUUAUUCGAGCAGCCUCAACUUUUUUAUCUUAUGAGGAUGGUGUUAUCCCAUUUUAGUUUUUGGGAUUACUUGUUGGUGCCAUUCUUAGAUGCAAAAGUACUUGGACUCCUAUUUUAGAAUCUAUGAGGAUAAGACUAUCGAGUUGGAGUUAAAAACAGAUUUCUAUGUGUGGAAGAGUUACUUUGAUAAACUCGAUGCUUGAAAGUUUAUCUUUGUAGUUCUUAUCUUUUUAUAAGAUUCUAAAAAUAGUAAGUAAAGAGAUUAUUUCUAUCGAACGAAAUUUUCUUUGGAGAGGAAAUGAAGAAAAAAAGAAAAUGAUGUUGGAAUGGAUGGAAUAAGAUUUGUUUACCUAAGGAAUAUGGAAGUCUUGGAAUAAAAAAAAGUGGAAACCUUCAAUGAAUCCUUGUUAUUCAAAUGGAAAUGGAGGUGUUUGGAGGAUCAUCUUCAAUGAAAAUUCCAUUACAGCUUUGCAAAAUUUUAAAGAAAUUGAAAUGAUGUAUAUCCAAUGAUGUCUAUCUAUAUAUACUACAAUUAAUUAUUAUUUUAAGUAAUAUUUUAUUUAUUAUUAUAGUUUUACUAAUGAUUAAAUAUAAAACUUCAUAAACAUUCUAUACGACAUUAAAUACUGCUUAAUCAUGUUGGUAAGAAUUAUUUACAACUUGAGAAAUAUAGGUAAUGAAUAUUUUAAUUGCACUAUGGUUAAACUUAAAUAAUAUUUUUAUGUAAAAAAUGAUAUAUUUGUUGUUACAGGAAAAAAAAAAUGUGAAUACUGAGAAUAAAGAAAAUAUUUAAGAAAAAUAGUUGAAUACUGAAAAUAUUUAAGGAAAUUAUUUAAAGAAAAAUAUUUGGAGUUAUAAUUUAUACAAAUAAUUCAAAUACUGAGAAUAAAGAAAUUUGUUACAAAACUAAUUUCUAAUUUUAAUUAUCAAAAUUUAUAUGCAUAUUUUAAUAUUUAAUAAAACACUCAUUUGAUCAUUAACUCAUGAAUAAACUAUAUAUUAUUAAUCACAAAAACAAAAAUAUUUAAUUAACAAAUACUUAUAUAAUUUUUAACUCAACACACACAUAUAUCGUGCAAAUGUUGACUUGUACUAUGAUCAAGUUUUUGAUAAUGUUUAUUUAAACUUAUUAAAUUGACAAUAUUAAGGAAUACAUUAGUCUUACACUAAAUUUUAUUUUAAAUAUAAAUAAAAAUCUAUCAUUAACGUUUUCACGUAUUUCUGUAAUUUUUAAAAUAUGUUGAUUUUAGCGAGUAGAAAUUAAAUUCUAAAAAAUAAAUAAGAUUGAAUUAAAUACUUAAUAAAUUAGCCAGUAAUUAACUAUAUAUUACUAAUCACCACAAAAAUUUAAAUUUAUUUAACAAAUUUUUAAAUAAUUCUGUAACUCAACUUAUAUUUAUAUCGUGCAAAUGUUGUACGUUGACCUAUUUUUCAGAUGAGGUUUAUUUAAAAUUACCAAAUUGACAAUAUUAAAAAAUACAGUAGUCUUACACUAAUUUAAUUUUAAAUAUAAAAAAUCAUCUUUCAAAAGAUUGUUUAUAAGUAUUUCUAUAAUUUUGAAAAUAUAUUGAUUUUAGAUAAUAGAAUCUAAAUUAUAAAAAGUAAUCAAAUUAAAUUGAUGUUAUUGAAAAAUGUGGAGAUAAUGUUCAAGAGGUAGAUGUAACGAUAGUAAAACUCUGUGAGCAGAAAAUGAAUCAAAAAAAAUUCUCUUCACUAUAUUAAGAACAAGCACAGAAGAAUAAUUUAAUUGAAUAUGAUUAGUGAUUCAUUUCUUGGAAUGAAAAGGUACAAAUUUAUUGCAACAUAAUUUAAAAGAGAUUCAUUCACAAGGAAUGCCACUAGAGAAAGGAAAGACUCGUAUCCAAAAUGAUCCCCUUAAUCAUUCCUUCAUUCCCUUUAUUUGUAUUGACAAGAGAAAUAUUUUCUAUUAGGGAUUCUUUCUCUCUUGCCCCUCAUUCGCUCCAUGAUGCAAGGAUCAUUCACCACAUGUCCUUGAUUUCCUUAUUUUUGUCCUUUUCCUUCAACAUCCAUUUGUUGUCAACUCCAUAUAUUAUCCUUAUUAAUCACAUUACUCCCCUCAUUAACAAGAACCUUGUCCUCAAGGUUAGGAUAAUUGGUAUGAAACUCAGACCAAUUUUUCCAAGUAGUUUCGGUUGGUGCCACGCCUUCCCACUGCACUUUUACCUGGCGCAUAGGCUGACCAUUUUGAAUGACAGUACGGUGAUCCAUAAUGGUAAGGGGCAGCACUAUUGGUCCUUGCUCAGUGGUGGUAAAUGGUAGUGGCAACAACUGUGUAGAAUGAUCUCCUUUACAUAAUUUCAAAGUAUAAAUAAGGAACACAGGUCAGAUUUUUGCAGUUGGAGAAAGCAUGAGCUUAUAAGCAACCUAACCAAUUUGUUCUAUCACAGGAAUAGGACCAUAGUAACGCAUACUAAGCGUGUGAUUACGCCUUUAAACAACUAAGUGUUGUCUAUAUGGUUGCAAUUUGACAAGAACCAUAUCACCAACUUGAAAGUCAACACAACGACGUUUGGUGUCGGGAAACUUUUUCAUAAUUUGUUGAGCGCGUGCCAGAUUAGAUUUGAGAGCUGUAAUGGUAUCAUCUCUUUCAGUUAACAUUUGUUGCAACAAGGGAGGAUCAUCAUUGUUAACUUCAUAAUGAAUUAGUCUGGGAGGAUCGCGCCGUACACUACUUUGAAAGGUGUCAUUCCAAUACUAGUUUGGAAGGAAGUGUUGUGCCAAAACUCGGCCCAAGACAAUAAUUUGGACCACUGUCGAGGUGAUUCACUAGUGAAAUAGCGUAGGUAAAGCUUCAAACAUUUGUUACCAGCUUCAGAUUGCCCAUCAUUUUGGGGGUGAUAUGCAGUGCUCAUAACCAAGGUAGUGCCACUGAGUUUGAACAAAUGCUGCCAAAACUGAUUGGUAAAUACACGAUCUCUGUCAAAUACAUUUGUCUUAGGAAAACCAUGAAGUUUAACUACUGUGUGAAGGAAGACUUCAGCAACUUUGGAGCUAUUAUAAUCAGCUUUGAAGGGCAUGAAGCGGCUAUAUUUGAAAGUCUGUCAACAACCACAAAAAUGACAGUGUAAGUAUUGGAUGAAGGCAAUCCAGUUAUGAAGUCCAUUGAUAAAUCCUCCCAAAUUUGUUGUGGAAUGUUUAGUGGAUGUAGUAACCUUGCUGGCAAGGCAGUAGAAUGCUUUGCUUGUUGAUAAAUUAAGUAUUUCGAAAUGAACUCAUUGAUAUCUUUUGCCAUAAUAGGCCAAAAGAAUUUAGAGGCUAUGCGAGCUUUGGUGCGUGUGACUCCAACAUGGCCCCCAAUAGCAUAAGAGUGAAAUUCAGUCAAGAUGAUGUGAAUCAAGUCGAGCUUCUGAGGUAUCACCAACCAAUUUUUCCAAAAUUACAUGUCAUGCUUGACCUAAUAAUGUGGUGUAGAAUUGGUUCCCAACAAGCAUUGAUUUCGAAUCUUCGAUAAAGAAGGGCCAUUGUUCACACCUGUAGGUAUCAUUGAGAUAAGUUAAGGAGUUUGCAUAGACAACACCAAGCAGAAAAAACAUGAUAGACUAUCAGCUGAUAUGUUAUUAAUACCAGGUUUGUAUUCAAUAGUAAAAUCAUAGCCAAGGAAUUUGUGAAGCCAAUGUUGUUCCUCUGGGGUUUAAAUUGACUGAUCAAUGAGGGAUUUGAGGCUGUGUUGAUCAGUUUUGAUAACAAACUUAUGGCCAAUGAGAUAAUGAUGAAAUUUUUCCAAAGCUUCAGUGAUGGCAUACAACUCUCGCACAUAAGCGAAAUGUUUUUGCAUUCGAGGGCACAAUUUCUUUGAGAAAUAUGCAAUAGGAUGGCGAGCUUGACUGAGCACAACUCCAAUGCCCGAACCUGAUGUGUCUGUUUCCAAGGUGAAGGGUAAUCAAAAAUUUGGAAAAUUCAAAACACGGGCUUGUGUGAUGGUCUGUUUGAGCUUAUUAAAAGCAUUAGUAGCAGCUGGUGUCCAAAUAAAAGAAUUUUUCUUUAACAAUCCGGUCAGUGGUGAAGCAAUAGCAACAUAAUUGCGAAUAAAGCGCCAGUAAUAGCCAGAUAACCCAAAAAACCCACGAAGCUGUUUGAGUGAAGUAGGGAUUUUCCAUUCCAAUACAGCUUGAAUUUUUUAUUUAUCCAUCUCAACCCCUUGAGUGGAUAUGGUGUGGCCUAGAUAAUCCACUAAGGUGAGACCAAAACAACAUUUGGUGAAUUUGGCAAACAACUCAUGUUGUUGCAGCAGUCCUAACACAAUUUCCAAAUGUUCACGGUGGGAAGACCAAGAGUGGUUGUACACAAGUAUAUCAUUAAAAAAAAACCAUUAAAAACUUGUGCAAUUGGUCACGAAAAACAGAGUUCAUAAGACUUUGAAACGAAGCUGCGAAGUUGGUUAACCCAAAAGGCAUGACAAGCCAUUCAUACAAACCUUGUUGAGUUCUAAAACCAGUCUUAUGACGAUCCUCGGGAUGGACUAGGAUUUGGGAAAUCCAACUUAGAAAAGUAAGUGGCUCCAAAAAAUUCGUCUAACAAUUCAUCCAUUGUGUGUAUCAGAAAACUAUCCUUGAUUGUAAUCGCGUUUAAUGCACGAUAAUAAAUGCAAAAGCGCCAGGAUCCAUCCUUCUUAUUUACUAACAAAACUGGUGAAGAAAAUGGACUCGUGUUGGGAUGAAUGAUGCCUUGCUUCAACAUCUCGGACACCAUCUUUUCAAUCUCAGCCUUCUGAAUGUAUGGAGAACGGUAGGGUUUGACCUUCACAUGGUUACUCCCAUCAAUGAGAGGGAUCGAAUGAUCCUGAUCUCUAGGUGGCGGUAAGCGUGUGAGUUCAUCAAACACAUUCCAAUAAUUAUGUAACAGAGUAGCCAAGUCAACCAGGAGAUUCUCAAGAGAAGCUGUUGAUGAUGGUUGUGCUAUGGAAUGGAAUUGCAAUGUAUAUGAUAAAUCAAUAGAAUGAGUAUUCUGAAGACGACGAAUGUGAUGAAAUUGGGAUUGUCCUGGUUUUGUGAUUUGAUUACCUCUAAUAGUGAUGAACUUGUUGUUGAGGUAGAAUUUAAUAGACAAAGCCUCGUAAACCGCAAUGUGAGGACCCAAAGUCUUAAGCCAAGGCACACCCAAAACCAAAUCAGUGCCAGUAAUUGGUAGCAAAUACACCGGAAAGUGGAUAAUAAGACCUUGAAUGGGUACUAGCAAGUCCUGGAUCAACCUAGAAGUUGUUAAGGUGCUACCAUUGCCCACGAGGACUUGAAUUGAGGAGCUUUGUGGAUUGUUAGUUUCAAGCAUUGAGAAAUACAUGGUUGGAGAAAGUUAUCAGAGCUACCACUAUCAAGUAAAACUUGUACUUGGACACCUUGAAUUUGACCCUGGAAACCAAUUGUGCCAGCACUAUACGCUCCUUUGAGAGCAUGAAAUGAGAGGUGGUGCUCUGACUCAAGGACAACGAGUAAUGGAUCAGAAUCUGGAGGAUCCGUUUCUGGCUCUGGUGGAUCUAAAUUAUCGACUUGCAACAAGAGGUAGUGUUUAUUAGGACAACGAUGGGUAGGGGAAAACUUUUAAUCACAAUAGAAACAUUGUCCUUUGUCUCGCCGAAGUUAAAUCUCAGCCGCGGUGGUACUACGAAUUGGACGAGCUCGGGAAGUUGGAGGUUGGGAAUGGGUUGAAGGAGUGGGUAAGAGAGUGUUUGUGGGUCGGGUCAGGGAGUGUGGGCUAGAAUUGGAGAAAGAUUGUGGGUUGGGGGAUGAGCUUAGUAAGUGAGGUGUAUUUUUCCUAAAAGAGUUUGGCUAGGGAUAAGGAUUUGGAUAAUGAGAUAGGGUUUUGGGAUAUAACAUCGCGGCGAAGGUCAGGCUUAAGUCCACUCACAAAACAAUCCAAAAUUGCAUCUGGUGAGAGACCUUGGGUGCGAUUAGCAAGUGCGGUGAAUGUGGAAUAAUAUUCAGAGACGGUGGUGGUUUGGGUUAAUUUGAAAAGGGUGGGUCUGGGAGAUUCAUAUGGCAACGGUCCAUAUACCAAUUCCUAAGCACGAGUGAAAGAUACCCAAGAUCUAAAAGGAUUGUUACGAGUAAUCAUUUGAUACCAAGGCACCACAUCCUUGUCCAAAUGCACUGCUGCUAUGGUGAGUCGGUGGUUGUCCGGCAUCGAGUAAUAAUCAAAGAAUUGAUGAGCUUUAAAGAUCCAAUUUAAUACCUCAGUGCCUCAAAUAUGGGAAAAUCAAGAUUCACGUUGUGCACCUGGAAAUGUUGUUUUCGCGAUGAGACGUUGGAGUUCAAGCUAACAUUCAAAGCGGCAGAGAGCUAGAAAAUGCCAAGUUGUGCCUCGACCUGCUCGAGGCACGUCAUAUAAGCAUGACAGUGUUGCAUGUAGUCAUUAUGUCGUGCGUCGGCGUCCUUCACCAUCUUCUGUAUUGUGGCGUGGAUGUUGUUGAUUGCAGCUUCCAUACCUCUUUCAUACGAGUAUUUUCCGUCAUGGUAUGGUCAACGAAAGCACCAAAUGUAACAAUAGUAAAACUCUGUGAGCAGAGAACGAUUCACAAAAAAAAUCUAUUCACUAUAUUAAGAACAAGUAUAGAUGAAGAAUUUAAUUGACUAUGAUUACUGAAUCAUUUCUUAGAAUGAAAAGGUACAAAUUUAUUGCAACAUAAUUUAAAAGAGAUUCAUUCACAAGGAAUGCUACUAGAGAAAGGAAAAACUUGUAUCCAAAAUGAUUCCCUUAAUCAUUCCUUCAUUCCCUCUAUUUAUACUGAUAAGAGGAAUAUUUUCUGUUAGGGAUUCUCUCUCUCUUGCCCCUCCAUUGCUCCAUGAUGCAAAGAUCAUUCACCACGUAUCCUUGAUUUCUUUCUUUUUGUCCUUUUCCUUCAGCAUCCCUCUGUUUCCAGCUCCAUAUAUUAUCCUUAAUCAUCACAGUAAAUGAAGCGACAAUACUUCAUUUAUAGACGAAGUUUGUAGCGGGUUGUACUCGUGGUCGAGUUAUGGCGUUGGAGAUUUGUUUGUCAACCUUUGGCGUGGGUGCACAUCUUUUACCCAACAAUCUGAUAAUCCUUAUGGGUCCAUGACUGUGAUCUCUUUCGAAACGGCGAGGGAUGCUAGAAUUAAAGCAGACGACUUAUUGAACAAGGGACUAAUUAAAUUUAGUCGGAUUCAAGGACGAAUUAUAACUUAAAAAUUAAAAUUGACCCGAUCAAAUAUUAUAAUUUAGUAAAUAACACACAAAAUCAGACCUAACACGUACUAAUAAAUAUAUUAGGCAAAGUGCUAAAAUUCCUAUUUCCAAGGCUUUCCGUAAAUUUAUUAAACUAAUAGAAGCAAUUAUGAGAAUAUAACGAAAGCAACAAACAAUUAUCCGCAAUGCAGUUGAGCUUUAAUUACAAAUUUAUGAGUAGCAUUGAACUCUCAACACACAAAGAUUAUUAAUUUUGUGAUUAAUCAAAGACCAUUUUCAGUGAUAUGAUUCCAAUGUUUAGUAAUAUAUAUAUGAAUAUUUUACAAAUUCUUGUAAAUGUGAUUAGACUGGAAUGGAAAUAUUACUUACAGUUAAUAAAUCAUAAUUUGGUUUUCACUAACAUGUAAACGUGAUUAGCGUAGAAAAUAUCUAUUUAUUUAUCUAUUAUUUUAUGAAAUAUUUUAUUUAUUAUUAUAGUUUUAUUCUGAAGUAGUAUUGAAAAUGAUUUUAACUACUUAUUUAAAUAUUUUAGUAAAGAUAUUUGACUAACCUUCUUCGAUUUUGAUCAUUCUAUCAUUAAAUUAAAAUUUUAAUCAUAAACCUCUUUUCCACUUCAAAAUUUGUGCUGUAAUAUUUAAUUAUUUUUCUUUUGAUAUUUUUUUCCUUCUUUAGUCAAAUAAAAUAAAAAUCUUCUUACCACUAUAAUAAUAAGAUUUUUUAUUUAUAUAUAAACAAUUUUGUUAAAGAAAUAUAAAAGUUAUUUUAACUCUUAAAAAAUCAUUGUCCAAUCCUUAAAUGUUAGCUUAAUUAACAUAAAUAUCAAUAUUAUUAAAUUAAAUAUUUUAUUUUGAAUUCUAACCGAACCAAAAUAUCUAAAUUAUAUAAAUAAAUUAUAAUAUAAUUAAUUAUUUUUUUAAACUAAUAAAAUAAAAUUACUAUUCAUAUUCAGGUAUAAAUCGAACACUUUCUAAAAGGGUUACAAUAUUGUAGGAUUUAGAAUGGGGAGCUUCUAAUGCGAUCGUCCGAAAAGAGGAAAUAUUCUAUACCGUCUAAAUCCAAGAAGUUGAAAUUUUAUAAAUAGAAAAAAAUAUAUUUAAUCAUUAAUUUUUAAUGUAUAGUUAGAGACAUAUAAAUAAUCAAAUACAUGUUUCUCUAUUAACUAAUUGAUUUGUAAAUUAUCACAUUUUAAUUAAGUUGUUAAUGAUAAACAUAUGUUGUGCAUUUUUUGUCUUCAUUUUUUGUGUAUAUAAUUUGUAUGAGAAAUUAUAAUUAGUAUAUUAUAACUUUUUUUAUUUAAAAAAAUUCUAAUGACAAAUUAAUAAUCUAAUGCAUAUUUUUCUAAAUUAAUAGAUUCAUGAAUGACAAUCUUAAAAUAAUUAAUUAGUGGCUAACAUUUGUCCUGUAUAUGAUUUGAUAAAUUAUUUAUGGAAAAAUAUUAGAAUUCAAAAUUUAUCCAAAUAAUUAAUAUAUUGAAUAAAGAAAUUUAUUGAUCAUAAAACUAAUUUCUAAUUAUAAUUUUUGAAUUUUAUAUACAUAAUUAUUUAAUAAAAUAGUUAUUUGAUAACUGAUCCAAUACUUAAUUAACUAUAUACUAUUAAUCAAUACUCAAAAUUAAAUUUUAUUUAACAAAUAUUUAAAUAAUCUUAUAACUCAACAUAUUUAUAUAUAUAUAUAUAUAUAUAUAUAUAUAUAUAUAUUUGUUAAGAGAAAAUCUCAAUUUAAAUGUUUUGAUAAUAAUUAAACAAAAGGUUAAUCAAAGACUAUUAAUUAUGAUUCUAAUUGUUUUGGUAUUUAACAUGUCCAUUUGAGUUUGUUAAACAAGAUAAAUAUCAAACAUUACAAAGCAGAUCGCAUUAAAAUCAAAGAAAGCAAAAACAGUAAAACGAAGGUUGAUCUUGAAGUAGUUUUGGAAAACGAAGAUCGAUUUUCGUUUUUGGCAGAAAUAAGAAUAAUCAAUUUAUGUGUUAGAAAUUGGAUCCUGGAACUUUAUUCAUCUCUUAUCUUUAUCAGAGAAUAAACAAUGAUCAAUCUAAAUCAUAAUCAUUCCCGAAAUCGACGGAUCAAAAGAUAUGCUUCAUAAAAAGCUGAAAACAAGAUUAUUCUUCAAGUGAGAAAAUUACAAGUAUAAAGUUGCAAGUUGUAAAAGUACACUGCUGAUUGUACUGUCAAUUUAGACCUACACACGUGACUGAAAAGCAAGCAAAUCAUCUCAGACAACUGACACAAUCACAAGUACAAGUCAGCUCAUCACGAACAAAUUUGAAGAACGAUCAUGGAUGUCAAGAACGUUCCUGGAUUGAGCAUAAUCACUUUUGCUUUAUGACUGACUUUUUCCAACCAAUCCUUAAUGACAGCUGGCCCUAUUUCAACGGACAUAUGAGCUGUCCUAAAAGUCUAUUGAAGCUUAUAAAUACAGCUUAAGGAUAAAGAACAAUAUACAACUCAAAGUGUCAAGAAAAGCAUCAAUCAUACUCAAGUGUCUCGAUAUCAUUCUUAAAGCUUGUUGUUUUUAAUUUUUGUGUUGUGUUAGAAUCAGUAUCAUCUGAGUUCUAUUUACAGAAUCUAUUUCUCAAACAAGAGUUGAGAAAAUAUCCAGAUUCUAAACAUUCUCGAAAUCCUCACUUUGUAACUCAAGAUUAUUUUGUUAACAUAAGCUUGAGUGUUUUGUAAAAAUCCUUUCAUGUUUUGAAAGGUAACUCGCAAAAUCCUUUCUGAAAUAGUAAGGUAGAACUGAGAAAAUCCUUUCUAGGUAGAAGGAUAGAAACUUUAUAAAGAUCAAGAUUGAUUUGUGAAAAAUAGUGUGAUAACCAAGAACAAUCUUGCCUUUGAGCACAUAGUAGAAAAUCUCACAUUUGUGAGGACUGGACGUAACCCGUAUUUGGGUAAACCAGGAUAUAUGCGUGUGUAAUCUCUUUAUCUCUAUCUCUAUUUACUUUAUGUGUGACAAUCAGAUUUCAUAUUGAUAACAUUGAUAUUGUUGUUUUUUACUAACCAAAAUCAAUCUUCAUUAUAUCUAAGAUCAAUCUUGAGUUGAAGUUUCAGUUCCAAACAUAAUUUUUUUUAAUAUAUAUAUAUACGUAAGCAAUAAAAGAGGACCCUUUGUAUAAGGCUUGUGUUAUAGAUAUAUUAGGGAAACUGCUAAAAGUUUUUUCUAAGGCUUCUGACAAAUUUCUUCAACUAAUAAAAGCAAUUAUGAGAAUACAAUGAAAGCAACAAACAAUUAUCAACAAUGAAACUCUCAACUAACAAAGAUUAUUAGAUUUAGGGAUUAACUAAAUACUAUUUUAAAGGAUAUAAUUCCAAUUAAUAAUAUACGAAUAUUUUACUUUCUUGUAAAUUUGAUUAGUGUAGAAAGAAGAAACUAUUACAUAAAAUUGAUCAUACAGUUUCUUUAGAAGAAUAAAAAAAAUUGCUCAUGCACCCAAAUAAAACUCACAUGCUGCAAAAUUGAAUGCUGAAAAUAAUUAAAAACAACAAAAGUAAAUAAAUCAUAAUUUUUAUUCAUAGCUUUAUUAUAUGUCACAAGGUAAUUGACAUAAGAUAAUUUUAAUUCAUAGCUUUAUUUAGUCGUGUUUUGUGUGACAGCACCAUCCAACCCAUUUGCUGCAACACCAUUUUUGUGGUUGAUAUUCGGCAUUACUUUGCUGUUGUAUAAUUUCACUAAGAUCCUGACGAGUACUUUGUGUGCUUCCCAUCAAAGUACUCACAAUCACUAAGAGCACCAUCACAAACUUCAAAAUCAUCUUCAUUGUAGAUUCCAUUAUGACUUUGCAAAAUAUUAAAUAAAUUGAAAUGAUGUAUUUUCAAUGGUAUCUAUCUAUCUAUNNNNNNNNNNNNNNNNNNNNNNNNNNNNNNNNNNNNNNNNNNNNNNNNNNNNNNNNNNNNNNNNNNNNNNNNNNNNNNNNNNNNNNNNNNNNNNNNNNNNNNNNNNNNNNNNNNNNNNNNNNNNNNNNNNNNNNNNNNNNNNNNNNNNNNNNNNNNNNNNNNNNNNNNNNNUAUAUAUAUAUAUCUCAUGCAAAUAUUGACUUAAUCUAUGAUCCGUUUUUCAGAUAAUGUUUAUUUAAACUAAUUAAAUUAACAAUAUUAAGGAAUAUAUUAGUCUUACACUAAAUUUAAUUUUAAAUAUUAAAAACAUCUAUGAAAGACUUUUUCUAAGUAUUUCUAUAAUUUUUAAAAUAUAUUGUUUUUUAAAAAGCAUAUAUCAUGUGUGAGGAUAUGAAAAAUAUAAAUGUUAAAUGCUUGGAUAAUGUCUUAUGCAAUAUAGAUAAAUUCUUGUUCAUUUUUUAGUUCCUCGAUCCUUAUAUGAUCUUAUACGCCCACAAGAUUUAAUGGAUGAAUGAAGAUAACAACUAUUUUUGCAUGAUGAGUCUAGUACAUCUCAUGUGACCCUUUUUUCGAGAUGAAACAAAUUCCAUUGUUUAAAAUGAUUACACUCCUUUUAUUUUGCACUCAUAUACGUUGAGAAUCUAUCGAGUUCUCAUGUAUAUAUUUUUCAAGUGUCAAAAUACUUAAAUUAUUUUUUAUAUUUCCACAUAUUUCAAAUUCCAACAUUUAAUAUUAUUAAAUAACAUAUUAAAAUGUUAGAACAAUCAACCAUGAAACUGAAUUAAUUUAGAAAGAAUAUAACGUACAACAUCAAAUUAAAACAUUGGAAAACUACAUUCACUACAUUGAGAACAAAACAAUUGGGAUUACAAUGUAUGGAUGAAUGUAUUUAGCUUUGGUUGCAGGGAUAACAAAAACUGAUUAUUCUAAUAAUAUAGGACUCCUUUUGGUUUGCUUCAAAGAACCACAUUUAUGCAAGUAUUAGAGCUCCCCUAGAGAAAGCCUAUUUCACAACAUAUGAUCUUUUGUAGUUCAGAGUCCAUUUUCCACGAGAAUCUUUUUUUAUGGGCAUUCCUUAACACUAAGCCUCUUUCUUGAAACUCUCAAGUACAUACCUUUUUCUAGUAGGCUUUUUUAAGUCUUUUUUUAUAUAGUUGACCAUGACAUUGAGCUAUCAUUCUUUUUUCUUCUAUGAUAUUCAAUUGAUCAAAUGGUGAUUGAACCCACUCUGCCUCUUUUAGUUUUGUUUCCAUCAGGAUUCUGAUCGAGGGAAUUUCAACUUCAUUGGAAAGUACCGCUUCCAUUCCAUACAUUCCAUAGCCAUGUAAUGCAAAGGGAAGCACUUUGUAUCAAUCUUUAUAUGUCUCUACCAUCUUUUGUAUGAUUUUCUUGAUAUUCUUAUUUGCUGCUUCUACAACUCAAUUCACUUUUAGAUGAUAUGACGAAGAAUUAUGGUGCUGAAUUUUGACACUACCACACAACUCCUUCAUCAUUUUGUUAUUCAGAUUGGUCGCGUUAUCAAUAAUAAUCUUAUUUCUCAAGUCAUAUCGACAAAUCAAUUCUCUUUUGAUGAAUAUGACAACCACACUAAUGCACAACAUGUCCGUUCAAGCAGUGAUCAACAAUAAUCUUUUAUGGCAUAACAUGUAUCGUCUCAAUCGAAGAUCAUCCCAUGCUAAUGCACAACAUAUUCAUUCAAGCAGUAAAACCUUGUUUCACAACUGGUGCACUUUUUGCCAGAUUCAUCAUGUUGCCCUACUACACAACCCAUUGACUCGUCAAGUACUGUUAAGUACAUAAUAAGUGGUUUUCCAGGAACAAGAGGCACUAAGAUUGGAGGUUUGGACAAGUACUGCUUAAUCUUCUUGAUAUCCUUUUGACAAUUCUCAUUCCAUUUAACCUUUUGGUCUUUGUGCAACAUCUUGAAAAUUGGCUCGCAUGUAGUGGUGAGAUGUGAUAUGAACCUGAAAAUGUACCCAUAAAGCCACAAGCUUAUUUUUAGUGUUUGGAGCCGAUAUUUCUUAUAUUGCUUUUACUUUAUCUGGGUCCACCUCUAUCCCUUUUUGACUAACGAUAAACCCAAGUAACUAGUUUGAUCUCACACCAAAAGUUCACUUAGCAGGGUUUAAACAUAGUAUGAACUUCCUUAGUCGUAUAAAUAAUUUUUGAAGGUUAUCAACAUGGUCUUCAUCGAUCCGAGACUUUGCAAUCAUAUUGUCCAUUUAAACCUCUAUAUACUUAUGCAUCAUGUCAUGAAACAAAGUUUCCAUUGCUAUUUGAUAGGUUGCCCCAACAUUCUUCAAUCCAAAUGACAUCACUUUAUAGAAAAAAGUUCCCCAUUGUAUGAUGAAUGUAGUUUUCUCCAUAUCCUCGGGAGCCAUAUAGAUUUGAUUGUACCCUGAGAAACAACCCAUGAAGGAGAAAAAAGAAUAUUAAGCAAUACUAUCCACCAUAACAUCAAUAUGAGGCAAAGGGAAACAAUCGUUAGGACUAGCUUUAUUUAAAUCCCGAUAAUCAACGCAAAUUCGAACCUUUCCAUCCUUUUUUUGGAACUUGGACAAUAUUAACAACCCAUUGAGGAUAUUUUUCCACUGCUAAGAAACCAACAUCAAAUUGCCUCUUGACCUCUUUUCUAAUUUUAAAUGACAUACCAUCCAUCAUCCUUUUUAUUUUUUUGUUUCAUUGGAGCACAUUCAAGCUUGAGCGGUAGCUUGUGUUCAACUAUGUUAGUAUCUAGCCCAGACAUAUCCUGAUAAGACCAUGCAAAGACAUCCACAUAGUCAAAUAAAAUUGUUUCUUCUCAUAUUUAGUCCUCAAAUUGAUCACCUCAACAGGUUCUUGAUAAGUCUAUAUUAUCUUAGCUUCCUGUUCCAUUAGCCUUUCUAGUUCUAGGGGAGGUUCAUAAUUAUCUUCAAAAUCCUCAUCACCGUGAUUAAUUGAGUGUUCAAAAUUAUAAGAAUGAGUUCUAGCGCUGUUAUUUUCAACAUAUUCAUUUUCGACUCCGCAUUGUUUAAAUUAAGAAGAAAAAGGAAAAAAAAAAAGAAAAUAUAACGGUUGGAGAAGUCAAAAAUGCAUUUAUUGAUAAUAAGUAUGAAAUCAAAAUACAUGUGCCCUAAUUAGUUAUCCUUAUAGCCUUGGGAAGAGCAAAAUGAGUUGAAAUACAUAAUUACUUUGAACAUUAAUUAACAAACAUGGGAAACUUGAUGAUCUUCUGAUUGUUGAGACUGGUGUUUGGAGGACAAGGGUACAUUAACUUGAGGGUAUCAGUAUCAACAUGAUCUUCUUCUGCAACAACCACUUGGUCACCAUAUAUUAUUUCGACGCUUUUAUAUGUUUGGCGAAUGUCAUAAAUAGGAACCUUUUGUGAAUUCAAUACCCGAUUUUUAAGACGAGCUAUCUUGUUUUCCCAUUUUUCUUUCACAAUCAUUUCCUUAUCAGUUUUGGUAGGUACAUAUUGCAACUCAUACCUAUCGUUCUUUUCUGGUAGUUCUAACAAUCUCCCCAAUCUAAGGAAAACACCUCCUUCCAACAUGGCUUUGGUAGACUUCAAUGAUUUGGUAGACAGUUUUAGUUCCUUUAAGUGAGAUCCUUCACCAAUGAAGAAAACAUUUUCAAUUUUUAAUGCUUAAAAAGAAUUCUCUAUGGCUUCCUCCGUGUCUUCGAUGUAGCCCAUAGAAGAUAGAUGACUCACUAUCAUAUGUUAUUCCCCAUAUAUUAUUACAAGUUUAUUAUCCACUUAAAACUUUAGCUUUUGAUGGAGAGCGGAAGUCACUGCUCCAACAACAUGAAUCUAUGGUUUCCUUAAAGGGCAACUGUACUUCAGUUUAAUAUCCAUCACAUGGAAGGUUAUUCCAAAGUUAUUGUUGGAACCAAGUUGAUUUUAUAGUUCGAGUUUUGAUGAUAACAAAAGUAUUUUAUGAGAACAAUAUAUUUGACUUCAAAUAGUAUCAAACAAGAUUCAUGUUUUUGAAAAAAAUCUAAAAUGUGAUUUGAUUCAAAUUUAUAAUUGAAGAAAAUCUAAAAUAAGAUUUUAUUCAGAUUUAUAAUUGAAGAAAAUCUAAAAUAAUAUUUGAUUCAAAUUUAUGAUUGAUGAAAAUAAAAAAUAAGAUUUGAUUCAUAUUUAUAAUUGAACAAAAUCUUUGACCAAGUUGAAAAGAAGAUAUGGUCCAGAUUUGAAGAAGAUUUGAUCUAAAUAAUUUACGAGCUCAAUUUAAACAAAAUAUGAACGAAAUCAAUAUGAAGAAUUUACAAACUCAAUAUGAACAAGAUACAAUUCAAAAUUAAAUAAUGACUAAAUUGAAGCCCAAAAUUAACUAUAAAUAAAUACUCAAGGUUAAAGAAGAAAAUCAUUGAAAACCAUAAAAUACUAGCUCAAUCUCAAAAUUCCAAAUUCAUCUUUUACUUCAAAGAGAGAAACACUUGUUCAAGUUUGAAAUAUUUUCGGAGGGUUCUUUUCUUAGAGUGUCCCAUUUAGUUGAAUGCCUCUAUACACAAUUGGAUAUCUAAACAAUUUAAGUUUAAUAACUAUUGGUUAGAGCAUGAUAAUUUUUUCAACUUUGUGAAAACAAGUUGGGAAGAUUUUGAAAUUGAAGGGUGGAAAGCUUUUAUUUUAAAGAAAAAGUUAUGUCUGCUUAAGUAUCAUCUUAGAAGUCGGAAUAGAGAUGUUUUGGCAUCAUGGAUUCAAAGCUUAACAAAAUAGUUGAAGCUCUAAAUAACCUAGACACAAUGGUUGCAGUUGGUUGAGAUAUUGAUUUUGAGUUGAAUCAACUUCUCAAUAAUAACUUGUGGAAACAAAUUCGUGCAAAAGAAAAUAUUAUUUUACAUAAAUAUUGGAUGUAGUGGGCAAAUGAGAGAAACACCAAUACAAAAUAUUUUCAUGCUUGUAUGUGGAGGGCAAACAUUAUCAUAGGAACCAAAUUCUUGAAAUUCAAGGAAUUGAUGGUGUGGUGUAUGGGGUUCGGGAGGUAAAAAAGAAGUUAAAAAAAAUUAUAGGUGUAACACCCCGUUUUUCAAAGCGAGGGUAUAUUUUUUUUUUGAAAGAAAUUAAAAUAAAACAAAGUAAAACAAAUGAGGAAAUGUCUUUGGAUAAAUAAUUGAGUCAUUAUAAUUUACAAGCAGCGGAAAAGUUUCUCCAAUUAUAAAUCCAAAACAUUUACACAACAUCAAAUGGUACAUGGAACCCAUUCAAAGAUGAUGUCAAACUGAUAAUAUUUGUAUAAGUACAGUUUUCCAAACUAAAAAUACUCCAAACCAAAAAGAAGGACCCCUAGUCCCUAUACAUCAUCCUAAUCUGAUCAUCCUACCAAAAAGCUAUACACCCUGAGUAAUCUCCACGCGCCCCGUGAGAUCCUCCUAACGUAACUGCAGUCAAGCGUUCCCAUCUCCAUUCCUGUCCGUAGGGUACGAACCGGUAGGGCCGUCCUGACUCUCAUCUGAGGGCAAGGCCCAAAUUUCCACAAUAGUUGUAAAGGGUCACCAACCAGAAAAUAACAGUUAACACAUAGCAAUUAAGUUUUUGAAUGCUCAAAACAACUUUUCAACUAAGCAUGCACCUUAACAGGAUUUUCAAUAUGCGAAAAGUUCAUACAAUACAUUGCCAAUUAAAAUGAAGGUAAAAUGCAGUUCUUGAUCUCCUAAUUAACACAUAAUAAAAUAGGACAUGGAUAAGUCAAUGAGAAAUCAAUCAUCUAACUCAAACUGAGGAUGUUCACUGAGCCAAUCGAUUGGGGUGAAGGUUUUUAAUGAAAACAGAAUCCUGGGCUGAAUCAAUCGAUUUGGCAAUCGAUUGACAGGAUAACGGAGCCCCUGACUUAAUACCAAUCGAUUUCCAAAUCGAUUUCCUGAAGGUUUUUAGUGAAAUUUUGAACUCUGGCUUGAUUCAAUCGAUUGGGCAAUCGAUUGACAGGAUAGCUGAGCCCCUGACUUAAGGGCCAAUCGAUUUCCAAAUCGAUUUGGUCGAAUAUGGAUGAGUCCCUGACUUAGGCCCAAUCGAUUGGGCAAUCGAUUUCGUAAAUGAUUUUCGAAAAACUGAUUACAAAAUCGAUUGGCUAAUCGAUUUUGUCCAUUUGGCCAAGUCCCUGUUUACUAUCCAAUCGAUUGGGAAAUCGAUUUACCUGUGUAUUCUUUCAAAAAUUCAUAAACUAACUCAAUCACAUUCAUACAUAAUCCCAAUUCUUAACACUUAACACUGAUAACACAAUUACUACGACAUCAUGGAUUUCGAAAUGGUAUUGCAAUCAAACAUGUUAUCACCAAAUUCCAAAACAUAACACUUAGCAUUUAUAACACAUUACUACACAAACAAAAUGAACCAACAGUUCACAAAUCAACAGGGUGUAGUCUCUCGCGGACAAACACAAUUCCCUCAGGAACGUAAGUCGUAAACGUACUACCUAUCACGGGUCCGUACCGUUUACCGAGGUGCCACCUAUCCCGGGUCAGCACAACUUACCAAAACAUACACGAGUAAACGAGACAUUAAGAGAUUCCCCAUUCUUAAUUCUCAUCUAACUUAAACCAGGGCGUAGUCUCUCACGGACAAACCCCUGCGCAGUCUCUCACGGACAAACGCAAUUCCCGCAGGAACGUAAGUCGUAAACGUACUACCUAUCACGGGUCCGUACUGUUUACCGAGGUGCCACCUAUCCCGGGUCAGCACAACUUACCAAACACAAUUCCCUCAGGAACGUAAGUCGUAAAAGUACUACCUAUCACGGGUCCGUACUGUUUACCGAGGUGCCACCCAUCCCGGGUCAGCACGACUUACCAAACGUAAAUCGUAAACGUACUGCCUAUCACGGGCCCGUACUGUUUACCAAGGUGCCACCUAUCCCGGGUCAGCACGAUUUACCGAAACACACAUAAAAAAGCGAGACAUUAAGAGAUUCCCCAUUCUUAAUUCUCAUUUAACUUAACGAUUUUCAAGACAAAACAUUCAGUAAAUAAGUCAUUAAGAGAUUCCCCAUUCUUAAUACUCAUUUACUGAAACGAUUUUCAAAAACGAACAUUAAGUAACCGAGACAUUAAGAGAUUCCCCAUUCUCAACGCCCAGUUAACUUAAACAAUUUUCCAAACAAAAUAAUAAGUAACCGAGACAUUAAGAGAUUCCCCAUUCUUAACGCCCAGUUAACUUAAACAAUUUUCCAAACAAAAUAAUAAGUAACCGAGACAUUAAGAGAUUCCCCAUUCUUAACGCCCAGUUAACUUAAACGGUUUUCAAAACAAAAUGUUAAGUAACCGAGACAUUAAGAGAUUCCCCCUCCUUAACGUCCAGUUAACUUAAACGGUUUUCAAAACAAAAUAUUAAGUAACCGAGACAUUAAGAGAUUCCCCAUUCUUAACGCCCAGUUAACUUAAACGAUUUUCAAAACAAAAUAUUAAGUAACCGAGACAUUAAGAGAUUCCCCCUCCUUAACGUCCAGUUAACUUAAACGGUUUUCAAAACAAAAUAUUAAGUAACCGAGACAUUAAGAGAUUCCCCAUUCUUAACGCCCAGUUAACUUAAACGAUUUUUCUUUAAAACAAAAUAUUAAGUAACCGAGACAUUAAGAGAUUCCCCAUUCUUAACGCCCAGUUAACUUAAACGAUUUUUCUUUAAAACAAAAUAUUAAGUAACCGAGACAUUAAGAGAUUCCCCAUUCUUAACGCCCAGUUAACUUAAACGAUUUUUCACAAACAAACGCACAUUAAGUAAACGAGACAUUAAGAGAUUCCCCAUUCUUAACGCCCAGUUAACUUAAACGAUUUUUCUUUAAAACAAAAUAUUAAGUAACCGAGACAUUAAGAGAUUCCCCAUUCUUAACGCCCAGUUAACUUAAACGAUUUUUCUUUAAAACAAAAUAUUAAGUAACCGAGACAUUAAGAGAUUCCCCAUUCUUAAUACUCAUUUAACUUAAUGGUUUUCAAAUUUCACACAACACAAACUCAACAAAUUCUCACAUCAAAACAUAUCAAUUCAUUUAUUCACAAAUCCAACCAUACACAUAUCAAAUUUCAUCAAUAUCAAUUAAGAGCAUGUCAAAAACAACGAACACAAAUCGACACAAUCCACUACUCAAAACACACAAGUUUCAUUUACCCAAAAUCUUACACAAUGACUUCAAAUUCAUUUACCACGAACCAUUCAUCAAUAUAAACAAAACCUAACUCUAAGGUUUUACCCAUAACGCAUUAGUUUCGUUUUUCCCCAAAUCGAUACAUUAAACCCUAACAAAUUCCUUCCCACACAACCACAGAUAAGUCCCUAAUGCAAACUAGAAGUUUGGAAGGAGCCCUUACCUCAACGUUAGCUUUAACGCGCGUUUCCGGUACCGCGAGUAAUUCCGGUAAAUUUUCCGCUCGCAACGCCGCUUCCAAAUUAGUUCACUAGCACCGUAGCGUGGUGGUGAGCAACUUUCCCUUCUGUCUCUUCGAGAAAUGAGGUUCGGAUCUAGAAGAAACGGAGGGGUUUGUGUUUGGAUCUCAAAAACCAUUUUUCUUCGUUUUCGAAUCAAAGAGGAAGAGUGGAGUUACGAAAACCUUGAUCUAACUCUCACCCAACCUUGGGUCACUAGCUUUGAAGAAAAGGAAGCAACGAAAACGAAAAAUGGAGAAGGAUGGAAUUUUGGGUUUUGCUCGCGUGAGGUUCAGAGGAAGGAGAUGGAAAUUUGAAAUUUCCUUCCUUUCUUUUUCUUUCCUUUGUUUUUCCUUUCUUCCUUUUUCCUUCCUUCCUUUAUAUACUAUUUUCUUUUCCUUUUCCUUCCUUCUAGUUUUCCUUUCUUUUUCCCUCCAAACAAACAUAUAAGAAUAUAAUAAAUAUAACUUAACAAAUAUCACAAAAUCUAGAUAUUUAUUAAAUUACCGUUUCACCCGAAACGCAUAAAAUUAACCGUAAAGUAUUCACCGCAGUUAAUUUCAAUUUAUUUAUCGACGAGAAAUUCUAAUUGGCAUCGAAAUAUCUUUUUGAUUAUAAAACUCCAAAAUAUAAUUAACUUUGGCUUAAAAACCUCCGAGCCAAAAUCCAAAAUACACCAAAAAUACAUAAAUGGUACUUUAAAAUUAUGGGUCUUACAAUAGGCAUUAUAUGUGGAGGAUAUUUUUUCAAGACCAAUGCUAAAUAAAAUUCAUUUUAAGAAAACCGACGAGGUUGAUAACUUAAUAUUGAUUGAUAAAUUCUCACCAGAAGAGAUCAAAUAAAUUGUUUGGAGUUGUGAUGGAAAAAAGAGUUUGGGUCUUGAAGGAUUCAAUUUCAUCUUCUUUAAGGCAUGUCCGGAUAAAGUCAAAGCAAAUGUUAUAAGCUUUGUAAAUGAAUUCCAUGAAGAUUUGAAAUUACCAAAAGGAAUCAUUGCCGUCUUUUUGGAACUUCUUCCAAAGAAGGAUAAUUCAAGACUCUUGAAGAAGUAUAAGUCGAUUUCGUUAAUUGGCAGCUUAUAGAAAUUUGGUUUCCAAUAUCUUAGCAUAAUGAUUGAAGAGUGUGCUAGGAACCGUUAUUUCAAGACAUCUAUCAAUUUUUUUUUUUAUCAAAGUGGCAAAUAUUGGAUGGAGUGUUGGUGAUGAAUGAAUUGGUUAAUCUAACAAAGAGGGGAAAAGGUAAGUGUAUUGUGUUGAAGGUAGAUUUUGAGAAAGUAUAAGAUUCAAUCAGUUAGAACUAUAUGGAGUUUAUGAUGAGUAACACAAGCUUUACCUCUUGUUGGCAGAGUUGGAUGAAGGCACGUGUGUUCUCAAGUACCUUGCCAAUGCUUGUAAAUGGUAUCCUGAAGAAUUUUAAAUUCGAAAGGGGCUUAAGCAGGGGGAUCUCUUAACACCUUUUCUAUUCCUAUUAGUGUUUGAAGGACUAUUUGGGAUGGUGAAAAAAGCUGUGAACCCAGUUUUAUUUCACGGGUUUCAUGUCUCUCAAAACAUUUCUUUUCCCAUACUACAAUUUUCUAUAAUACUAUUUUGACGCAUGACGAAAGUUGGGAUAAUUUGUGGGCAUUUAAAUCCAUACUAAGGGGUUUUGAAUUAGUAUCCGAAUUGAAAGUGAAUUUCUUCAAAUGUGGUAUCUUUUUGCAUUAAUAUACAUUAGAAUUUUAUUCGAGUUGCCUCAACUUUUUUAUCUUACGAGGAUGGUGUUAUCCCAUUUAAGUUUUUGGGAUUAAUUGUUGGUGCCAUUCUUAGAUGCAAAAGUACUUGGACAUUUAUUUUAGAAUCUAUGAGGAUAAGACUAUCGAGUUGGAGUUGAAAACAUAUUUCUAUGUGUGGAAGAGUUACUUUAAUAAACUCAAUGCUUGGAAGUUUACCUUUGAAAUUCUUAUUUUUUUAUAAGAUUCCAAAAAUAGUAAGUAAAGAGAUUAUUUUUAUCCAACGAAAUUUUCUUUGGAGAGGAAAUGAAGAAAAAAAGAAAAUGAUGUUAGAAUAGUUGGAAUAAGAUUUGUUUACCUAAGGAAUAUGGAAUUCUUGGAAUAAAAAAAAAGUGGAAACUUUCAAUGAAUCCUUGUGAUUCAAAUGGAAAUUUAGGUGUUUGGAGGAUCAUCUUCAAUGAAAAUUCCAUUACAGCUUUGCAAAAUUUUAAAGAAAUUGAAAUGAUGUCUAUGCAAUGAUAUCUAUCUAUAUAUACUACAAUUAAUUAAUACUUUAAGGAAUAUUUUAUUUAUUAUCAUAGUUUUACUAAUGAUUAAAUAUAAAACUGCAUAAACAUUAUAUACGACAUUAAAUACUGCUUAAUCAUAUUGGUAAGAAUUAUUUACAACUUGAAAAAUAUAGGUAAUGAAUAUUUUAAUGCACUAUGUUUAAACUUAAAUAAUAUUUUUAUAUAAAAAAUGAUAUAUUUGUUGUUAAAGGAAAAAAAUUUGAAUACUGAGAAUAAAGAAAAUAUUUAAGAAAAAUAUUUGAAUACUGAAAAUAUUUAAGGAAAUUAUUUAAAGAAAAAUAUAUCAAUUUAUAAUUGAUACAAAUAAUUCAAAUACUGAGAAUAAAGAAAUUUGUUGCUAAACUAAUUUCUAAUUUUAAUUAUCAAAAUUUAUAUGCGUAUUUAAAUAUUUAAUAAAACACUCAUUUGGUCAUUAACUCAUGAAUAAACUAUAUAUUAUUAAUCACGAAAAAAAAAAUAUUUAUUUAACAAAUAUUUAAAUAAUUUUUAACUCAACACACACAUAUAUCGUGCAAAUGUUGACUUGUACAAUGACCAAAUUUUUGAUAAUGUUUAUUUAAACUUAUUAAAUUGACAAUAUUAAGGAAUACAUUAGUCUUACACUAAAUUUUAUUUUAAAUAUAAAAAAAAAAUCUACCAUUAACUUUUUUAUGUAUUUCUGUAACUUUUAAAAUAUAUUGAUUUUAGUGAGUAGAAAUUAAAUUCUAAAAAAUAAAUAAGAUUGAAUUAAAUAUUUAAAAAAUUAGCUAGUAAUUAACUAUAUAUCACUAAUCACAACAAAAAUUUAAAUUUAUUUAACAAAUAUUUAAAUAAUUCUGUAACUCAGCUUAUAUUUAUACCUUGCAAAUGUUGUACGUUGACCUAUUUUUUAGAUGAAGUUUAUUUAAAAUUACUAAAUUGACAAUAUUUUAAAAAUCCAGUAGUCUUACACUAAUUUAAUUUUAAAUAUAAAAAAUCAUCUUUCAAAAGAUUGUUUCUAAGUAUUUCUAUAAUUUUGAAAAUAUAUUGAUUUUAGAUAUUAGAAACUAAAUUAUAAAAAGUAAUCAAAUUAAAUUGAAGUUAUUGAAAAAGGUGGAGAUAAUAUUUAAGAGGUAGAUGUAAUGAUAGUAAGACUCUGUGAGCAGAAAACGAUUCACAAAAAAAUCUCAUCACUAUAUUAAAAACAAGUACAUAUGAAGAAUUUAAUUGAAUAUGAUUACUAAAUCAUUUCUUGGAAUGAAAAGGUACAAAUUUAUUGCAACAUAAUUUAAAAGAGAUUCAUUCACAAGGAAUGCCACUAGAGAAAGGAAUGACUUGUAUCCAAAAUAAUCCCCUUAAUCAUUCCUUCAUUCCCUUUAUUUGUAUUGACAAGAGAAAUAUUUUCUAUUAGGGAUUCUUUCUCUCUUGCCCCUCCUUCGCUCCAUGAUGCAAGGAUCAUUCACCACACGUCCUUGAUUUCCUUCUUUUUGUCCUUUUCCUUCAACAUCCAUAUGUUGCUAGCUCCAUAUAUUAUCCUUAAUCAUCACAUUACUCCCCUCAUUAACAAGAAGCUUGUCCUCAAGGUUAGGAUAAUUGGUAUGAAACUCAGACCAAUUUUUCCAAGUAGUUUCUGUUGGUGCCACGCCUUCCCACUGCACUUAUACUUGGUGCACAGGUUGACCAUUUUGAAUGACAUUACGAUGAUCCAUAAUGGCAAGGGGCAGCACUAUUGGUCCUUGCUCAGUGGUGGUCAAUGGUAGUGGCAGCAGUUGUGUAGAAUGAUCUCCUUUACAUAAUUUCAAAGUAGAAAUAUGGUACACAGGUCAGAUUUUGGCAGUUGGAGGAAGCAUGAGCUUAUAAGCAACCUGACCAAUUCACAGGAAAAGGACCAAAGUAAAGCAUAUUAAGCUUGUGAUUACGCCUUAAAACAACUGAGUGUUGUCUAUAUGGUUGCAAUUUGACAAGAACCAUAUCACCAAUUUGAAAGUCAACACAAUGACGCUUGGUGUCGGAAAACUUUUUCAUAAUUUGUUGAGCGCGUGCCAGAAUAGAUUUGAGAGUUGUAAUGGUAUCAUCUCUUUCAGUUAACAUAUGUUGCAGCAAGGGAGGAUCAACAUUGUUAACUUCAUAACAAAUUAGUUUGGGAGGAUCGCGUUGUACACUACUUUGAAAGGUGUCAUUCCAAUACUAGUUUGGAAGGAAGUGUUGUGCCAAAUCUCGGCCCAAGACAAUAAUUUGGACCACCGUGGAGGUGAUUCACUAGUGAAACAGCAUAGGUAAAGCUGCAAACAUUUGUUAACAACUUCAGAUUGCCCAUCAGUUUGGGGGUGAUAGGCAGUGCUCAUAGCCAAGGUAGUGCCACUGAGUUUGCACAAAUGUUGCUAAAACUGAUUGGUAAAUACACGAACUCUGUCAGAUAUAAUUGUCUUAGGAAAACCAUGAAGUUUAACUACUAUGUGAAGGAAAACAUCAGCAGCUUUGGAGCUAUUAUAAUCAGCUUUGAAGGGCAUGAAUUGGUUAUAUUUGGAAAGUCUGUCAACAACCACAAAAUGAUAGUGUAAGUAUUGGAUGAAGGCAAUCCAAUUAUGAAGUCCAUUGAUAAAUCCUCCCAAAUUUGUUGUGGAAUGGGUAGUGGCUGUAGUAACCCUGCUGGCAAGGCAGUAGAAUGCUUUGCUUGUUGAUAAAUUAAGCAUUUCGAAAUGAACUCCUUAAUGUCUUUUGCCAUAGUAGGCCAAAAGAAUUGAGAGGCUAUGUGAGCUUUGGUGCGUGUGACUCAAUCAUGGCCCCCAAUAGCAGAAGAGUGAAAUUCAGUGAAGAUGAUGUGAAUCAAGUCGAGCUUCUGGGGUAUCACCAACCAAUUUUUCCAAAAUAACAUGUCAUGCUUGACCUAAUAAUGUGGUGUAGAAUUGGUUCCCAACAAGCAUUGAUUUCGAAUCUCCGCUAAAGAAGGGUCAUUGUUCACAGCUAUAGAUAUCAUUGAGAUAAGUUGAGGAGUUUGCAUAGACAACGCCAAGCAGAAAAAAUAUGAUAGACUAUCAGCUGCUAUGUUAUCAAUACCAGGUUUGAUUUCAACAGUAAAAUCAUAGCCAAGGUAUUUGUGAAGCCAAUGUUGUUGCUCUGGGGUUUGAAUUGACUGAUCAGUGAGGGAUUUGAGGUUGUGUUGAUCAGUUUUGAUAACAAACUUAUGGCCAAUGAGAUAAUGACGAAAUUUUUCCAAAGCUUCGGUGAUGGCAUACAACUCUCGCACAUAAGCGGAUUGUUUUUGUAUUCGAUGCCACAAUUUCUUUGAGAAAUAAGCAAUAGGAUGGCGAGCUUGACUGAGCACAGCUCCAAUGCCCGAACCUGAUGCGUCUGUUUCCAAGGUGAACGGUAAUCGAAAAUCUGGCAAAGUCAAAACAGGGGCUUGUGUGAUGGCUUAUUUGAGCUUAUUAAAAGCAUCAGUAGGAGCUGGUGUCCAAAUAAAAGCAUUUUUUUUUUUAACAAUUCGGUAAGUGGUGAAGCAACAACAGCAUAAUUGCGAAUAAAGUGCCGGUAAUAGCCAGAUAACCCUAAAAUCCCACGAAGUUGUUUGAGUGAAGUAGGGAUUUUCCAUUCCAAUACAGCUUGAAUUUUUUAUUUUUCCAUCUCAACCCCUUGACUGAAUAUGGUGUGGCCUAGAUAAUCCACUAAGGUGAGACCAAAACAACAUUUGGAGAAUUUGGCAAACAAGUCAUGUUGUUGCAGCAGUCCUAACACAAUUUCCAAAUGUUCAGGGUGGGAAGACCAAGAGUGGUUGUACACAAGUAUAUCGUAAAAAAAACCAGUACAAACUUGCGUAAUUGGUCACGAAAAACAGAGUUCAUAAGACUUUGAAACGAAGUCGGGGCAUUGGUGAACCCAAAAGGCAAUACAAGCCAUUCAUACAAACCUUGAUGAGUUCUAAAACCAGUCUUACGACGAUUCUCGGGAUGGACUAGGAUUUGGUGAUACCUAGAUUGCAAAUCCAACUUAGAAAAGUAAGCAGCUCCAAACAAUUCGUCUAACAAUUCAUCCACUGUGGGUAUGGGAAAACUAUCCUUGAUGGUAAUCGCGUUUAAUGCACGAUAAUCAGUGCAAAAGCGCCAGGAUCUGUCCUUCUUUUUUACUAACAAAACUGGUGAGGAAAAUGGACUCGUGUUGGGCUCAAUAAUGCCUUGCUUCAACAUCUCGGACACCAUGUUUUCAAUCUCAGCCUUCUGACUGUGUGGAUAACGGUAGAAUUUGACCUUCACAGGGUUACUCCCAUCAAUGAGAGAGAUCAAAUGAUCUUGAUCUCUAGGUGGCGGUAAGCGUGUGGGUUCAUCAAACACAUUCCAAUAAUUGUGUAACAGAGUAGCCAAGUCAACCAGGAGAUUCUCAAGAGAAGCUGUUGAUGAUGGUUGUGCUAUGGAAUGGAAUUGCAAUGUAUAUGAUAAAUCAAUAGAAUGAGUAUUCUGAAGACGACGAAUGUGAUGAAAUUGGGACUGUCAUGGUUCUGUGAUUUGAUUACCUCUAAGAGUGAUGAAUUUGUUGUUGAGGUAGAAUUUAAUGGACAAAGCCUCGUAAUCCGCAAUGUGAGGACCCAAAGUCUUAAGCCAAGGCGCGCCCAAAACCAAAUCAGCGCUAGUAAUUGGUAGCAAAUACACCGAAAGGUGGAGAGUAUGACCUUGAAUGGUUACUGGCAAGUCCUGAAUCAACCUAGAAGUUGUUAAGGUGCUACCAUUGCCCACGAGGACUUGAAACUGAGAAGCUUCGUGGAUUGUUAGUUUCAAGCAUUGAGCAAUACGAGGUUGGAGAAAGUUAUCAGAGCUACCACUAUCAAGUAAAACUUGUAUUUGGACGCCUUGAAUUUGACCUUGGAAACCAAUUGUGCCAGCACUAUACACUCCUUUGAGAGCAUGAAAUGAGAGAUGGUGCUCUGACUCAAGGACAACGAGUAGUGGAUCCGAAUCUGGAGGAUCCGUUUCUGGCUCUGGUGGAUCCAAAUCAUCGACUUGCAACAAGAGGUAGUGUUUAUUAGGACAACGAUGGGUAGGGGAAAACUUUUCAUCAUAAUAGAAACAUUGUCCUUUGUCUCGCCAGAGUUGAAUCUCACCCGCGGUGAUACUACGUAUUGGGCGAGCUCGGGAAGUUGGAGGUUGGGAAUGCGUUGAAGGUGUGGGUAAGAGAGUGUUUGUGGGUCGGGUCAGGGAGUGUGGGUUGGAAUUGGAGAAAGAUUUUUUGGGUUGGGGGAUGAGCUUAGUAAGCGAGGUGUAUUUUUCCUCAAAGUGUUUGGCUAGGGACAGGGCUUUGGAUAAUGAGAUAAGGUUUUGGGCUAUAACGUCGCGGCGAAGGUCAGGCUUAAGCCCACUCACAAAACAAUCCAAAAUUGCAUUUGGUGAGAGACCCGGGGUGCGAUUAGCAAGUGCAGUGAAUGUGGAAUAAUAUUCAUAGACGGUGGUGGUUUGGGUUAAUUUGAAAAGGGUGGGUCCGAGAGAUUCAUACGGCGACGGUCCAUAUUCCAAUUCCUAAGCACGAGUGAAAGAUACCCAAGAUCUAAAAGGGUUGUUACGAGUAAUCACGUUGCACACCUGGAAAGGUUGUUGUCGCGAUGAGACGUUGGAGUUCAAGCUACCAUUCAAAACGGUAGAGAGCUAGAAACUGCCAAGUUUUGCCUCGACCUGCUCGAGGCACGUCAUAUCAGCAUGACGGUGUUGCAUGUAGUCGUUAUGUCGUGCCUCGGCGUCGUCCAUCAUCUUCUGUAUCGCGGCGUUGAUGAUGUUGAUUGCAGCUUCCAUACCUUUCAUACUAUUCCGCCAUGGUAAGUUCAACGAAAGCACCAAAUGUAACAAUAGUAAAACUCUGUGAGCAGAGAACGAUUCACAAAAAAAUCUCUUUACUAUAUUAAGAACAAGUACAGAUGAAGAAUUUAAUUGAAUAUGAUUACUGAAUCAUUUCUUGGAAUGAAAAAGUACAAAUUUAUUGCAACACAAUUUAAAAGAGAUUCAUUCACAAGGAAUGCCACUAGAGAAAGGAAAGACUUGUAUCCAAAAUGAUCCACUUAAUCAUUCCUUCAUUCCCUCUAUUUGUACUGUCAAGAGGAGUAUUUUCUGUUAGAGAUUCUCUCUGUCUUUCCCCUCCUUCGCUCCAUGAUGCAAGGAUCAUUCACCAUGUGUCCUUGAUUUCUUUCUUUUUGUCCUUUUCCUUCAGCAUUCAUCUGUUGCCAGCUCCAUAUAUUAUCCUUAAUCAUCACAGUAGAUGAAGCGACAAUACUUCAUUUAUAGACGAAGUUUGUAGCGGGCUGUACUCGUGGUCGAGUUAUGGCAUUGGAGAUUUGUUUGUCAACCUUUGGCGUGGGUGCACAUCUUUUACCCAACAAUCUGAUAAUCGUGAUGGGUCCAUAACUGUGAUCUCUUUGGAAGCGGCGAGGGAGGCUAGAAUUAAAGCAGACGACUUAGGAUGCAAUAGUCCAGCUUAUGUAACUUAAGAUCCAAUAUUAUGUAACUUCUAAUGUGAACUUAAGAUUGUCCGAAAGAUCUAAUGGGAACUUAAGACGUCUUAAGAUCUAGUAUUAUGUAACCACGAGGUCCAAUAUUAUGUAACUUAAGAUCACAUUAGACAUCUUGGGUAGGAGGUUACUUGUUUUGAUUAAGCGGUUUGUAUUUUGUAUGAUAAUAUUAUAAGUUACUAAUUUUGAAUAAAUUGACAAGUGGUAACCGUAAGUAGGUUGUUACGAGUUAUUUUAAAUUUAACUUUUUUGUUUCUAAAGAAUAUUUUUAGAAUUAAUAGUUGACGAUUCAUCUUAAGACCCACUCAGUCUUAUUUUAUUUCGUCUCGUCAUUAUUGAACAUGCGACUAAUUAAAUUUAGUCGACUUCAAGGACGGAUUAUAGCUUAAAAAUAAAAAUUGACCCGAUCAAAUAUUUUGAUUGAGUAAAGAACACACAAAUUCAAACCUAAGACGUACUAAUAAAUAUAUUAGGCAAAGUGCUAAAAGUCCUAUUUCCAAGGCUUCCCGUAAAUAGUUGAGCUUUAAUUACAAAUUUAUGAGUAGCAUUGAAUUCUCAACAAACAAAGAUUAUUAGUUUUGUGAUUAAUCAUUUUCAGUGAUAUAAUUCCAAUGUUUAGUAAUAUAUGAAUAUUUUACAAAUUCUUGUAAAUGUGAUUAGACUGGAAAUAUUACUUACAGUUAAUAAAUCAUAAUUUGGUUUUCACUAACAUGUAAACGUGAUUAGCGUAGAAAAUAUCUAUUUAUUUAUCUAUUAUUUUAUGAAAUAUUUUAUUUAUUAUUAUAGUUUUAUUCUGAAGUAGUAUUGAAAAUGAUUUUAACUAUUUAUUUAAAUAUAUUAGUAAAGACAUUUGACUAACCUUCUUCGAAAUUUUAAUCAUAAAUAUUAUCUCAAGGAUCAUUUUAUUUAUUACACAUGUAUUAAUUAUUAAAUAUAAACAACAACCUCCUCAAAUUAUAUGCAAAACUACCCCUCUCCAUAUUUUAUUAUCUUUUAUAAACCUCUUUUCCACUUCAAAAUUUGUGCUGUAAUAUUUAAUUAUUUUUCUUUUGAUAUUUUUUUUCCUGUUUUAGUCAAAUAAAAUAAAAAUCUUCUUACCACUAUAAUAAUAAGAUUUUUUGUAUAUAUAUAAACCAUUUUGUUAAAGAAAUAUAAAAGUUAUUUUAACUCUUAAAAAAUCAUUGUCCAAUCCUUAAAUGUUAGCUGAAUUAAUACAAAUAUCAAUAUUAUUAAAUUAAAUAUUUUAUUUUGAAUUCUAACCGAACCAAAAUAUCUAAAUUAUGUAAAUUAAUUAUAAUAUAAUUAAUUAUUUUUUUAAACUAAGAAAAUAAAAUUACUAUUCAUACUCAGGUAUAAAUCGAACACUUUCUAAAAGGGUUACAAUAUUGUGGGAUUUAGAAUCGGGAGCUUCUAAUGCGAUCGUCCGAAAAGAGGAAAUAUUCUAUAGCGCCUAAAUCCAAGACGUUGAAAUUUAUUUGUAAAUUUAUUUGUAAAUAAUCAAUAAUCAAAUACAUGUUUCUCUUUUAACUAAUUUAUUUGUAAAUUAUCAUAUUUUAAUUAAGUUGUUAAUGAUAAACAUAUGUUGUGCAUUUUUUGUCUUCAUUUUUUGCGUAUAUAAUUUGUAUGAUAAAUUAUAAUUAGUAUAUUAUAACUUUUUUUAUUUAAAAAAAUUCAAAUGAAAAAUUAAUAAUCUAAUGCAUAUUUUUCUAAAUUAAUAGAUUCAUUAAUGACAAUCUUAAAAUAAUUAAUUAGUGGCUAACAUUUGUCCUGUAUAUGUUUUGAUAAAUUAUUUAUGGAAAAAUAUUAGAAUUCAAAAUUUAUCCAAAUAAUUAAUAUAUUGAAUAAAGAAAUUUAUUGAUCAUAAAACUAAUUUCUAAUUAUAAUUUUUGAAUUUUAUAUACAUAAUUAUUUAAUAAAGUAGUUACUUGAUAACUGAUCCAGUACUUAAUUAACUAUAUACUAUUAAUCAAUAAUCAAAAUUAAAUUUUAUUUUACAAAUAUUUAAAUAAUCUUAUAACUCAACAUAUUUAUAUAUAUAUAUAUAUUGUUAAGACAAAAUCUCAAUUUAAAUGUUUUGAUGAUAAUUAAACAAAAGAUUAAUUAAAUACUAUUAAUUAUGAUUCUAAAUGUUUUGGUAUUUAACAUAUGCAUUUGAGUGUGUUAAAAAAGAUAGGUAUCAAACAUUACAAAACAGAUCGCAUUAAAAUCAAAGAAAGCAAAAGCAGUAAAAUGAAGAUUGAUAUUGAAGUAGUUCUGGAAAACGAAUAUCGAUCUUCGUUUUUGGCAUAAACAAGAAUAAUUAGUUUCUCUGUUAGAAAUUGGAUCCUGGAACUUUAUUCAUCUCAUAUCUUCAUAAGAGAAUAAGCAAGGUUCAAUCUAAGUCAUAAUCAUUCCAGAUAUCGAAGGAUCAAAAAAUAUGCUUCAUUAAAAGCUCAAAACAAGAUCAUUCUUGAAGUGAGGAAAUUACAAUUACAAAGUUGCAUGCUGUAAAAGUACAAUGUUGAUUGUACUGUCAAUUUAGACCUACACACGUGACUGAAAAGCAAGCAAAUCAUCUCAGACAACUGACACAAUCACAUGUACAAGUCAGCUCAUCACCAACAAAUUCAAAGAACGAUCUUGGAUGUUAAGAACGUUUCUGGAUUGAGCAUAAUCACUCUUGCUUUAUGAAUGGCUUUUUCCAACCACUCCUUAAUAACUGUUGGCCCUAUUUAAACGGACAUAUGAGUUGUCCUAAAGAUCAAGAUUGAUCUGUGACAAAUAGUGUGAUAACCAAGAAUAAUCUUGCCUUUGAGCACUUGGUGGAAAAUAUCACAUUUGUGAGGACUGGACGUAACCCGUGUUUGGGUGAACCAGGAUAUAUGCGGUUGUAAUCUCUUUAUCUCUAUCUCUAUUUACUUUAUGUGUGACAAUCAGAUUUCAUAUUGACAACAUUGAUAUUGCUGUUUUUUACUAACCAAGAUCAAUCUUCAUUAUAACCAAGAUCAAUCUUGAGUUGAAGUUUCAGUUUUAAACAAUUUUUUUUUUAAAAGGGGCAAUUAUAAUUCAAACCCCCCCUUCCUUAUAAUUGAAAUUUUUACUUCAUAUAUAUAAAGUUAAAUUUAUUAUUAAGUACUUAGAAUAUUUCAUUCAAAUGUUGACUAGGACUCUCAUCCAUUUUUCAAAUAAGGUUUAUUUAAACUUACAAAAUUGACAUUAAUAAGGAAUACAUUAGGUUUACACGAAAUUUAAUUUUAAAUAUAAAAAUCAUCUAACAAAUUUUUUUUUAAGCAUUUCAAUAAUUUUUAAAAUAUGUUGACUUUAGACAGCAGAAACUAAAUUAUAAUAAAUAAAUCAGAUUGAAUUAAAGAGGAGCCUUUGUGUUAUAGAUAUAUUAGGGAAACUGUUAAAAGUCUUUUCUAAGGCUUCUGACAAAUUUCUUCAACUAAUAAAAGCAAUUAUGAGAAUAUAAUGAAAGCAACAAACAAUUAUCAAUAAUGAAACUCUCAACUAACAAAGAUUAUUAGAUUUAGGGAUUAACCAAAUACUAUUUUAAAGGAUAUAAUUCCAAUAAAUAAUAUACGAAUAUUUUACUUUCUUGUAAAUUUGAUUAGCGUAAAAAAAGAAACUAUUACAUAAAAUUGAUCAUACCAUUUCUUUAGAAGAAAAAUAAAUUUGCUUAUGCACCCAAAUAAAACUCACAUACUGCAAAAUUGAAUGCUGAAAAUAAUUAAAAACAACAAAAAUAAAUUAAUCAUAACUUUUAUUCAUAGCUUUAUUAUAUGUCACAAGGUAAUUGACAUAAAAUAAUUUUAAUUCAUAGCUUUAUUUAAUCGUGUUUUGUGUGACAGCACCAUCCAACCCAUUUGCUGCAACACCAUUUUUGUGGUUGAUAUUCGGCAUUACUUUGUUGUUGUAUAAUUUCACUAAGAUCGUGACGAGUACUUUGUGUGCUUCCCAUCAAAGUACUCACAAUCACUAAGAGCACCAUCACAAACUUCAAAAUCAUCUUCAUUGUAGAUUCCAUUAUGACUUUGCAAAAUAUUAAAUAAAUUGAAA